rnacentral:tRNA from 1 species
CCUGGUGGCUCAGAUGGUAAAGCGUCUGCCUGCAAUGCAGGAGACCCGGGUCGAUUCCUGGGUCAGGA